rnacentral:ncRNA from 1 species
GGAUUCCCACAAAGGCUGAGCUGAAAAGCUUUCGCCAUUUGAGGGAGGAUUGCCAUCCGGGUACGUCCAAGCCGUCCACUUCUGGUGCCGGACAUCGGCAUGUCAGGGUCGAGCACAUUGCGGUGCCAUCCGAUGUCGAUGUUCGGGAGACGA